AUUGCACGGUCAUAACAGUCCAGAUUCUUUUGUCAUGGUUUACACGUACACCUCCACACAUGUGUGAUAUAUUCAGCCUGAGCCUACCAGACGUAUCACUAACACUGGAUCAAAGUUAACCGACGCGGAUCUAGAACAGUCACUGAACAGGAACACAUACCCCUCGAUCCUCCGUGGAACACGACUGAUUGCUUCUUUGAACGAAAGCUUAAACUAUGUUUGGACUGAGGAGGGGAGCCCCUCUGCCCAGCCUGUGCAAGGUCUCAGAAGCUUUGCUUCCGAGGAAAUGCAAGAUGAUUCCUUCUUGGAAAAUGAAAAGAGAAAAAAAGAAAAGCGAUCAAAUACAAAGGCCGCGCAACGUGAUCUUAUCCCCACCCCACGUCUGGAAUCCCUCGCCUCUGGGGCAACCUAAAUGAAGAGAAGGGGUCAAAUAACA
rnacentral:lncRNA from 1 species